GGAUAUGAGAGAAAUCUGACUGUGGCAUCUGUCGCCCCAUUGAUCUCCAUGGUUGAUUCAGCUGAUCUGGCUUGCUAGGAUGGAGUCCCUUCCCCUCCCUCACAAGUCCAUGCACAUCCCUCCUGAAGCUGCAUGCUCAGUCAAAGGGAACAAUCUUCCACAAUACAGGAGGACUAUUCUGUCAAAGGUAUACGAGGCCUUUUUGGAUGUUGGGUUUUCAGAAUAAGUAGGCAAAAAUCAUCAUUCUGACAAAUUAU
rnacentral:sRNA from 1 species